rnacentral:rRNA from 1 species
CCCUUAGAUGUUCUGGGCCGCACGCGCGCUACACUGAUGCAUUCAACGAGCCUAGCCUUGACCGAGAGGUCCGGGUAAUCUUUGAAACUGCAUCGUGAUGGGGCUAGAUUAUUGCAAUUAUUAAUCUUCAACGAGGAAUGCCUAGUAAGCGUGAUUCAUCAAAUCGCGUUGAUUACGUCCCUGCCCUUUGUACACACCGCCCGUCGCUCCUACCGAUUGAGUGUGUUGGUGAGGAGUUUGGAUUGGCCUCGGAAGGUGGUUCGCCACCGUCCGUAGCUGAGAAGUUCUCCAAACCGCCCCACUUAGAGGAAGGUGAAGUCGUAACA